rnacentral:rRNA from 1 species
CUUUGCAAGAUUAAAAAUAAAUUUUUGCCCCGAAAAUGCACGAGCUGGGGCUAGUUUGCUCAGAGCCCAUUGAAUGGUGUUGCAAUAUCAUCAAAAAAACAUGCCCCAGAGGCUACAUACCACCCGCGUGCAUUCAUAGCUGGUUUAUCACACACCCAGUAUAAGCUGAAAAGGCUAUAUCUAAAACAACCCAAAUCCAUAGCCAUUUAAAGGAACUGAGGACAAGCCCAGUCCCUCACCUUAUUUAUAAAAAAAACAAACAAAAAGUAGGCCCAAAACCAGCCACCUUAAAUAUCUCGUUAUAGUAAACCAUCAAUAAAAAUAUAAUUCCUAAAUACUUAAUAAGUGAUAUAUUUGUCCUAACUCAAAGACCAAACAAUCAUGCAAAGAUCAGUAUCCCCCAUAUACAGAGAAGGAACUCGGCAAAUACAUGCCCCGACUGUUUAACAAAAACAUAGCCUAUUGAAUAAAUAAUAUAAUAGGUAAUGCCUGCCCAGUGAACUCUUAAACGGCCGCGGUAGCCUGACCGUGCAAAGGUAGCAUAAUAAGUUGCCUCUUAAUUAGAGGCUGGUAUGAAUGGAUCCACGAGAGCUAAGCUGUCUCCUCUGUACUCAAAGAAAUUUACCCUCAGGUGAAGAGGCCUGAAUAAAUGUAAAGGACAAGAAGACCCUGUCGAGCUUCAACUUCAAUAGGCCCCUAAUAACCCAAAUAUUAACACCUAAGAAAAGUUUUUGUUGGGGCAACAAAGGAAUAAACAAAUCUUCCUUAAAUAAAAAAGAACUCAAUUCCCCCAAAUGAGCCAGUUUCUGAAUAAUGAAAAUAGCUACCGCAGGGAUAACAGACUAAUCUUCCCCAAGAGCCCAAAUCGACGGGAAGGCUUGGCACCUCGAUGUUGGCUUAAGAACUCUUUUAGAUGUAGAAGUCUAAAAAGAAGGUUUGUUCAACCUUUAAAUUCUUACAUGAG